rnacentral:rRNA from 1 species
GAUGAACGCUGGCGGCGUGCCUAAUACAUGCAAGUCGAGCGAACAGACGAGGAGCUUGCUCCUCGGACGUUAGCGGCGGACGGGUGAGUAACACGUGGAUAACCUACCUAUAAGACUGGGAUAACUUCGGGAAACCGGAGCUAAUACCGGAUAAGAUAUUGAACCGCAUGGUUCAAUAGUGAAAGACGGUUUUGCUGUUACUUAUAGAUGGAUCCGCGCCGGAUUAGCUAGUUGGUAAGGUAACGGCUUACCAAGGCAACGAUGCGUAGCCGACCUGAGAGGGUGAUCGGCCACACUGGAACUGAGACACGGCCCAGACUCCUACGGGAGGCAGCAGUAGGGAAUCUUCCGCAAUGGGCGAAAGCUUGACGGAGCAACGCCGCGUGAGUGAUGAAGGUCUUCGGAUCGUAAACCUCUGUUAUUAGGGAAGAAAAAAUGUGUAAGUAACUAUGCACGUCUUGACGGUACCUAAUCAGAAAGCCACGGCUAACUACGUG